rnacentral:rRNA from 1 species
UACGUAGGGCGCAAGCGUUGUCCGGAAUUAUUGGGCGUAAAGAGCUCGUAGGCGGUUUGUCGCGUCUGCCGUGAAAGUCCGGGGCUCAACUCCGGAUCUGCGGUGGGUACGGGCAGACUAGAGUGAUGUAGGGGAGACUGGAAUUCCUGGUGUAGCGGUGAAAUGCGCAGAUAUCAGGAGGAACACCGAUGGCGAAGGCAGGUCUCUGGGCAUUAACUGACGCUGAGAAGCGAAAGCAUGGGGAGCGAACAGG